rnacentral:tRNA from 1 species
GCCCGAGUGGUGGAAUUGGUAGACACAGCGGACUUAAAAUCCGCCGCUUUCGUGAAUAGCGGGCGUACCGGUUCGAUUCCGGUCUCGGGCACCA